rnacentral:rRNA from 1 species
CCUACGGGGGGCAGCAGUGGGGAAUAUUGGACAAUGGGGGCAACCCUGAUCCAGCCAUGCCGCGUGUGUGAAGAAGGCCCUCGGGUUGUAAAGCACUUUCAGUGAGGAAGAACGCCUGGUGGUUAAUACCCAUCAGGAAAGACAUCACUCACAGAAGAAGCACCGGCUAACUCCGUGCCAGCAGCCGCGGUAAUACGGAGGGUGCGAGCGUUAAUCGGAAUUACUGGGCGUAAAGCGCGCGUAGGUGGCUUGAUAAGCCGGUUGUGAAAGCCCCGGGCUCAACCUGGGAACGGCAUCCGGAACUGUCAAGCUAGAGUGCAGGAGAGGAAGGUAGAAUUCCCGGUGUAGCGGUGAAAUGCGUAGAGAUCGGGAGGAAUACCAGUGGCGAAGGCGGCCUUCUGGACUGACACUGACACUGAGGUGCGAAAGCGUGGGUAGCAAACAGGAUUAGAGACCCUUGUAGUC